GGUGUCUCUAUUUCAAGCUGAUGUAAAUGUUACUGGCCUACGUCGUAUAGAAGAUGAUUUAGUGAUCUCAAAUGAUCACACUAUCAAAUGGUGAAUGUGCACCGAUAAAGCAUGGGAGUUUUUCUUGUGUUACUAGUGUCCGACCAGAAUUAGUAAGGUUUUUUGGUUUCGUCACUCCUUUGUUAUAUGGAAGAAGACUUCAUGGUAGAAGAUAGCGACAGAGUGCUGCCGGAUAAUGAGAUGUUGAAGCGGCAGACUGAAUCCAUGACACCGAAGUGCAAUUGCGGCAGAUUAUCUCUAUCUUUUCUUUUCAUUUUUCUUAUUAUUGAGUGAGAACAGAAUGAGGAACUGUGUGAUAGUACAUACAACAACUGUAGUAAAAAGAAACUUAUGUUUGCAAUUGUUAAUGACAUAGAUACUUGCAUGUUCUUUGAA